rnacentral:rRNA from 1 species
UGGGGAAUUUUGGACAAUGGGCGAAAGCCUGAUCCAGCAAUGCCGCGUGUGUGAAGAAGGCCUUCGGGUUGUAAAGCACUUUUGUCCGGAAAGAAAUCCUUGGCUCUAAUACAGUCGGGGGAUGACGGUACCGGAAGAAUAAGCACCGGCUAACUACGUGCCAGCAGCCGCGGUAAUACGUAGGGUGCAAGCGUUAAUCGGAAUUACUGGGCGUAAAGCGUGCGCAGGCGGUUUGCUAAGACCGAUGUGAAAUCCCCGGGCUCAACCUGGGAACUGCAUUGGUGACUGGCAGGCUAGAGUAUGGCAGAGGGGGGUAGAAUUCCACGUGUAGCAGUGAAAUGCGUAGAGAUGUGGAGGAAUACCGAUGGCGAAGGCAGCCCCCUGGGCCAAAUACUGACGCUCAUGCACGAAAGCGUGGGGAGCAAACAGGAUUAGAUACCCUGGUAGUCCACGCCCUAAAACGAUGUCAACUAGUUGUUGGGGAUUCAUUUCCUUAGUAACGUAGCUAACGCGUGAAGUUGACCGCCUGGGGAGU